CCAUACUUUCAGGUGCUGGGGUUCUAAAAACGUGUGUGCAUGGGAAGUAGUGGGGGGCAGACAAUAGGGAACAGAGAUGGUGGGGAGUGAGUAGCCAGAAGUGCACAGAUCAAAAAUUAAGCAAACACCAAGCGAAGAAAAUCUUAGAGUCUCAUGGAAUGAGUAAGAAGUUACCUGCCACUGAACCGCCAACAGAGCCAUCCCAAAGACUAGUCCCUGUCCAGCCACGUCGAAGACCUUUGUCAGAAAUGCAGGCUCUCAACAUAGGGAGGUCAUUAGGUGGUAUCACACCUUAACCGUACAUGGGGCUGAAAAAUACAGAUUUUGGGCCUCACCCCAGUGGUCCGUGUGUCAGCUCCCAGGGGACUGUGACCCAGCCUUGGGAACUAGCACUUGUCUUCCAGAAUUCUGGAAGGAGGGCAAUACCAAACCAAUGAUCUCCCUGAAAAACCUUUCUGCUGUGAAGAUUUGAAAGGAACCACCCUCAGGGCAAAAAUCCAGGUACUCAUUCUAACUUUAGCUUUAUUUACCAUAGUAAAAUAAUAAUAAAUAAGGGGGGAUUAACGUGUGCACGAGCUAUUUUAGCUUCCUCAGAAAUGGGCAUGUAUGGGAUGUGAGCUUCAGAUAAGGCAGGGCCAGCAGCAAUUCUUGGGGAACAAAACCACUCAGCCCGGCCUCCACCCAGCUACGGACCCUCAAAGCCAUCUUUCCCCAGCAGACGGCAUCCACCAAGCUCAUACUAUUUAAGGAAAAGCUCCUUGGAGGGUGCUGUUGAGUCCUUCGGCCCGAAUUUCCGGAGGCCCUGGGCACCCUCACAGUCCCCAAGUCUCUCUGAUGCCCCUGGGACAUUAGUGUGCCACAGAAGCCUGGGAGCAGGAGGGUUGGGGGGGAAAGCCACGAGGAAG